UCCGAGUUAGUAUAUCGGCUAGUAUGACCGCCUUUCAGAUCUUGGCCGGAUCUCGGCUCGUGCGGAUCGGUUCGCGGUAGAGACGGGUUCGAUUCCCGUACUCGGAA